GUUGUGUUGUCAUGUUGUAUUGUAGUAACCCUCAACUGUAUUUAAUGGUGUUAUGUAGUUGUGUUGUCAUGUUGUAUUGUAGUAACCCUCAACUGUAUUUAAUGGUGUUAUGUAGUUGUGUUGUCAUGUUGUAUUGUAGUAACCCUCAACUGUAUUUAAUGGUGUUAUGUAGUUGUGUUGUCAUGUUGUAUUGUAGUAACCCUCAACUGUAUUUAAUGUUGUUAUGUAGUUGUGUUGUCAUGUUGUAUUGUAGUAACCCUCAACUGUAUUUAAUGGUGUUAUGUAGUUGUGUUGUCAUGUUGUAUUGUAGUAACCCUCAACUGUAUUUAAUGGUGUUAUGUAGUUGUGUUGUCAUGUUGUAUUGUAGUAACCCUCAACUGUAUUUAAUGGUGUUAUGUAGUUGUGUUGUCAUGUUGUAUUGUAGUAACCCUCAACUGUAUUUAAUGGUGUUAUGUAGUUGUGUUGUCAUGUUGUAUUGUAGUAACCCUCAACUGUAUUUAAUGGUGUUAUGUAGUUGUGUUGUCAUGUUGUAUUGUAGUAACCCUCAACUGUAUUUAAUGGUGUUAUGUAGUUGUGUUGUCAUGUUGUAUUGUAGUAACCCUCAACUGUAUUUAAUGGUGUUAUGUAGUAGUGUUGUCAUGUUGUUAAUGUUGUAUUCUAGAAGGCCUAACCCUCAACAUUUUCUGGUGAUGGAGAGAGACACAGACGAGACACAGAGACAGCAACAGAAAAGGAUGUGAUGGAGAGAGACACCAAACAAGACACAGAGACAGCAACAGACGACACAGAGAAAGUGAUGGAGAGAGACAGAAGAAUAGAGUUCCAGACAGUUGUAGAAUGUAUGCCAAGGCACAUUGUAAGAGCUAUAAAGAGAGAGGGAGUGGGAGAGAGAACAGGCAGAACCUGAUAUGUAAAUGAGCAGAGCAAAUGAAACUCACUUUUGACGACCUGAUGAUCAUUCCAGACUGUGUUUCUAUUGAGAGAUAAAAGGCUGGUUGAAUGAGUUGCCUAUGAAAGCUACUUCAUCUGUAAGAAAACAGGCGUCUGCACCAGUGACUGUAAGUUAUGUGAUUUCCUCAUAUGAAAUUAAAAGUAUGUUUGUAGCCUACGCAGUUAUAAAAUGGCUGUUGAAACUGUGACACAUAUUUCUCAGUACAUUAGAAGUCAGAUAAAUGUGUUGAGACGUAGGAAAGAUGGGCAAACUCUCGUUGGUCUUGGCUUUCUACACACUAUUAUAAGGUUAGUCGAUGUCAGACAUUCAAUAGUCAGAGUAGGUUGGAGUUAUGAUCACUUAUCAUGCUGACAAACCUGAUGGUCUCUGUGAACUGAUCUGAACAGGUUUAGACUGGUCAUCUAUGAUAUGUAGGUUAUAUACAGUACAUUCUCUGUCCUGCUACUGGAAGGACUAUAACAUUAUGUGAACUGAUCUGAACAGGUUUAGACUGGUCAUCUAUGAUAUGUAGGUUAUAUACAGUACAUUCUCUGUCCUGCUACUGGAAGGACUAUAACAUUAUGUGAACUGAUCUGAACAGGUUUAGACUGGUCAUCUAUGAUAUGUAGGUUAUAUACAGUACAUUCUCUGUCCUGCUACUGGUAGGACUAUAACAUUAUGUGAACUGAU